UACGUAGGGGGCGAGCGUUGGUCCGAAGUUACUGGGCGUAAAGCGCGCGUAGGCGGGCUUCUAAGUUCGGGGUGAAAGGUCCUGCGCUCAACGUGGGACAGUGCCCUGGAUACUGGUUGUCUUGAGUGUGGGAGGGGGAAGCGGAAUUCCGGGUGUAGCGGUGAAAUGACGUAGAUAUUGGGAGGAACACCGGUGGCGAAAGCGGCUACUGGGUCUCUUCUGACGCUGAGAUACGAAAGCUAGGGGAGCGAAC
rnacentral:rRNA from 1 species